rnacentral:lncRNA from 1 species
AUAAAAACCAACCUUAUAAAACUAGGAGUACAAUCAGCCCUCUAUACCUGUUGGUUCCACAUCUGCGCAUUCAACCAACCACAGAUCAAAAAUAUUCAAAAAAUAAAAGAUAAUACAAAUUUUUAAAUGCAGUAUAACAACUAUUUAUAUAGCAACCUAAUGAAGAGAAUCUGUAAUAAACCUACAACUAACAUCAUUCUCUCUUUUUUUUCUUUUUUCAAGACAGGUCUUGCUCUGUUGCCCAGGUUGGAGUAAAAUGGUACAAUCACAGUUCACUGCAGCCUCGACCUCUCCAGUUCAAGUGAUCCUCCUGACUCUGCCUUCUGAGUGGCUGAGACUAUAGGCAUGCAUCAUUAUGCCUGGCUUUUUAAAAAACUUUUUGUAAAGAUGGGGUCUCCCUAUGUUGCCCAGGCUGAUCUUGAACACCUGGGCUCAAGGGAUCCUCCUGCCUUGGCAUCCCAAAGUAUUGAGAUUACAGGCAUGAGCCACCAUGCCUGGUCCUAACAUCAUUUUUUGGAUACUGCGCUUACUUCCUAAGAUCAAGAACAAGCAGAAAGGAGAUGUGUGUAUGAGUUCUGCAGAAGUCCACCAAAUGUGGGCCAGGGUUAUUUCCCUGGUGAUGCUCUGAAGCUUUUGCCAAAGGACAAAUGGAAACAGGAAGUACAAUCAUGCACUGGGGUAAAGAAGAUUCAUCUGCUCUUAGCUACCUACCAUGCCAACACUCCUGAGAAAGCUCACAGAGGCCCAUGAUGCCCACCUGGAUCUGAGGACCUAGAAAGCCACAACAGGCAACCAUAAUCUGGGUCUUCCCUCAGCCAACUCCCCUGCAUAAAGUGAAUGAAUGAAAAACCCAUCUUAUAUUAAUCAGAGUUCUCUAGAGAAAAAGAACCAAUCAGAUGUGUAUAUAUAGAAAGAGAGAAUUAUUUUAGGGAAUUAGCUCACAUCAUUAUGCAGGCUGGUCAAUCAAAAAUCUGUGGAGUGGGCUAGCAGGCUGGAGACCCAGGGAAAGGCUAAAUUGCAGUUUAGAUCAGAAGGUCAUCUACUGGCAGAAUUCCCUCAUCUUCCAGGAAGGUGGAUCUUUUUCUACCAAGGCCUUCAGUUUAUUAGAUUAGGCCCAUGAACAUGCUGGAGGGUAAUCUGCUUUACUCAAUACAUACUGAUUUGAAUGUUAGUAUCAUCAAAAAGACCUUCACAGAAACAUCUAAAAUAAUGUUUGACCAAAUGUCUGCAUACCAUGGCCAAGCCAAGUUUACACAUAAAAUUAAUUAUCACACAUCCCACGAACACCAUCCCCAACAGAUGCUCAUGAGCAUUGUGGUUAUGAUUUCAACUUCAGAAUAAGGCAGAAAUGUGUACAAAUCCUGACCCUUUGACUUAUCAGCUCUCUAAAAAUCAUUAUAUGUCAACUUUCUAGACUUUACCUGAAAAACAGAAACCAAGAUACCCACAGCAUAAGAUUGUUAGGAUUGAAGAAAUUGUUACGAUUGUUAGGUAUGAAGAAAUUUAAACAAUGAUGCAGCUGAGAUAUUUAGAAUUGUACCUGGCAUGUACUUUGUAUUAAAUAACUAAUAAGGCCUUUUUCUGGUGAAAACAAAAUAAGCCUGGAUAAAAGAAGAUGAGACCAGAUUGGUUGAUGGCUCGGCCUGGGUGGGCUCCUGGCCCAUCUGAAAUUACAUUACUCUUAUGUAGUGCCUUUUUUGUUAUUGCUAAAAUAAAAUAAAUAAAACACUCUACUUUCAUACUUUGUAAAAUGCACUUCUCAUUCAGUUCCUCUUCCUGUGCCUUUUCCCUAUUGUCUAUCUGCACACAGCUGUUUUCUUCUGCACAUUUUCAUCACAGAGAAUUACCAGGUGUAGGUCAAAAGAUGCCACAGAGAUAACAAAGGAAAGGAAAAGCUUUUCUGCACUUCUAUCCUUGUAAGCACAAAAAUUAAUCACACUUUCAGUAAACAGGUCAGGUAAGUCAGUCCUGCACUUGAACCUUUUCUCCCCAAAUAAAUAGUUGAAAUGGGAAUGUCGAUUUCUGUAUUUGAACAGAAAUGUAUUAGUGUAGCUUUCAAAAGAAGACUACUCUCUCCAUAUGAAUAUCAUCAGACCCACAAAUACACAUAUGCAUACAUUCACAGUUCAUCCUAACGCUGCAGAAUAUUCUAAGAGUAACACAUUUCUGUACAAAUCAAGCAGCAGCUUUCACUUGCAUGCUAAUCUUCAAAUUAAUUCUGCAAUGAUCCAUUCAUUCCACAUCCCAACCUACAUCCUCAGAAAAACAAAGAUGUAAGUAAGGAACUCAGUAUAACAUGUUUGACUUUAGACACUACUCAAAUAUACUCAAACUUUAUAUGAAUAUGGAUAUUGCUCCUAGAUUAGGCAGUUCAGAAAACAAAUCUUGAUUAUUCUUAGUUACAAUGUAGUAUAAAAUAACAACAAUUUCAUGUCAACAACAGAAUCUCCUAAAAGAUCUUAUAAAGAUAAAAAGUCUUAGGUGUUAGUCGUCAAAGACUAAGUUGUAAAUGUAUCAUUGUAUUUGUGUAGUUAAUAAAACCCUAGACAAGAUAUGGGUUCCAGUUCUUGAACCACCACCACCUGUUCACCUUAAAUAAGUCAACUAAC